ACCCCACCCCCGGCUGUGGGCUCAGAAGCAGAGCUCAGGGUGCCUCCACCAUGGCCUGGACCACCCUCCUGCUGCCCCUCCUCUCUCUCUGCACAGGUUCUGUGGCCUCUUCAGUGACUCAGCCCUCCGCGGUGUCCGUGUCCUUGGGACAGACGGCCAGUAUCACCUGCCAAUUUGGCAGCUUAGGAAGCUAUUAUGCUCACUGGCUCCAGCAGAAGCCAGGCCAGUCCCCUGUGCUGGUCAUCUAUAAUGAUAACAGCAGGCCCUCAGGGAUCCCUGAGCGAUUCUCUGGCUCCAGGUCAGGGGACACAGCCACCCUGACCGUCAGCGGGUCCCAGGCCGAGGACGAGGCCGACUAUUACUGUCAGGUAUGGGACAGCAGUGGGUAUAAUGCUCACAGUGACACAGGCAGAUGGGGAAGUGGGACAUAA